rnacentral:rRNA from 1 species
GAUGAACGCUGGCGGCGUGCCUAAUACAUGCAAGUCGAGCGAACAGACGAGGAGCUUGCUCCUCUGACGUUAGCGGCGGGCGGGUGAGUAACACGUGGAUAACCUACCUAUAAGACUGGGAUAACUUCGGGAAACCGGAGCUAAUACCGGAUAAUAUAUUGAACCGCAUGGUUCAAUAGUGAAAGACGGUUUUGCUGUCACUUAUAGAUGGAUCCGCGCCGCAUUAGCUAGUUGGUAAGGUAACGGCUUACCAAGGCAACGAUGCGUAGCCGACCUGAGAGGGUGAUCGGCCACACUGGAACUGAGACACGGUCCAGACUCCUACGGGAGGCAGCAGUAGGGAAUCUUCCGCAAUGGGCGAAAGCCUGACGGAGCAACGCCGCGUGAGUGAUGAAGGUCUUCGGAUCGUAAAACUCUGUUAUUAGGGAAGAACAAAUGCGUAAGUAACUAUGCACGUCUUGACGGUACCUAAUCAGAAAGCCACGGCUAACUACGUG